CUGUUUCUUAUUUUCAGUUAAACAUUCAUAAAUUACUCACUAAAGGAAAGUCUCUGGAAAAGUGCAAGUUGCCUAUGAAAAGACCAAUAGCAGUAGAUACACAACAAUAGCAUGGCUAGCUCUAUCUUCUAGCAAUUUGAGCAAGUAUGACAUACAAAAACACAGGCAAAAUGGAUCACAAACUUAAAUAAAGCAAUUUUCAAAUUCGGAAUAGAUAUGGCUCUAUUUGUUUUGUAGAAAACAACUUCUGCGGAAAUUAUUUCUGAGGAAAACAUUUUCUGAGAAAUUAUUUUUCAUCGUCUGAUUGCAAUACUGAAAAUCAUUAUAUUUUUUGGCAUUUGGAAUACAAG
rnacentral:misc_RNA from 1 species